rnacentral:tRNA from 1 species
AAGGAUUUAAGUUAAAAAAACUAACAACCUUCAAAGUUGUAAAUAAAGGCAAUUCUUUAAGCCUUA